rnacentral:lncRNA from 1 species
CAAAGUCUAGGUUCACAAAAUAAAUUGGUGAUACCAAGGCACAGAUUUGAUCAGUGAAUAAUACGUAAUGCAUUAAACCAUAGAGAUGCCACACAGAAGGAAACCUAUUUGAUCAAGUUUCCAUACAUUUCCUAAGAGAAAUAAAAUCAAGUUUCUAAUUUGGCAAUAUUCUGUGAAAGGCAACUCCUCAGUUUUUCUUAGUGUUUCGAGGUCAUCUCAUUUCUAUCCUUCUCAGCAAAAUGAGUUUUGUAGGAGCUCUCUUAAGCUCAAGAACUCUUCCAACCAUAGAAAUUAUGUUUUCUCUUUCAAGAGUGAUCUUUGAGUUUGAAGUGAAAACAGAUGGCUAUCCAUUCACCUUUAAAUACCAUAAAGAUUAAACCUUAUAAAAAUCAUUGUUGCUUCAUGAUAUUACUAAAAUACAAUUUACUUAGUGUCAUGGGAUAUGAAGGAAAUAAAAAUCAAUCCUCUGGAACUUUCUAAGCUCUUUCUUUCUUAAGCUCACCUAGUAAAUAUCUCCUCUUUGAAAAGAUGACAGAAAAAUAUUUUUUCCAUUGAUAUUACCACAUUCUCAGGCUCUGCAUGGAAAAAAGUAAAUUCUUUAUACCCAUGCCAUCCUACAGAAAUAUGAUGCUAGCCACAAAUGUGAGCAACAUAUGUCAUUUUACAUUUCUAGGAGCCACAUUAAAUAAUAUUUGAAUAACAGGCAGGAGUUCCCAUCGUGGCUCAGCAGGCUAUGAACCUUACUAAUAUCCAUGAGCUUGUGGGAUCAAUCCUUGGCAUCAGUCAGUGAGUUAAGGGUCUGGAAUUGCCAUGAACUGUGGUGUAGGUUGCAAAUGCAAACAUGGCUUGGAUCCUGUAUUGCUGUGGGUGUGGCACAGGCUGGCAGCUGAAGCUCCAAUUUGACCCCUAGCCUGGGAAGUUCCAUAUACCAUGGUCAUGGCCCUAAAACACAAACAAUGAAGAAAAUAAAUAAAUAAAUAAAUAGCUUGUGUCUCGGAAUUAUGGAAUUACUUCGCUUAAAUAUCUUUCCACCAUCCCUUCCUUCCUUAAAAAUACUUUGACAGGAUUGAGAUGGUGGAGGAGUAAGACAUGGCACUCACCUUCUCCCACAAACACAUCAAAAUAAAAACAUCUACAUAUAUAAUGGCUCACACAAAACACCUACUGAACAUAGGCAGAAAACCUUAAACCUCCAAAAAGAGAAAGAAAAUCUCCACAUAACUGGGUAGAACAAAAGGAAAAAAAAAAGAGAGAGAGAGAGAGAGAGAAAAGAAUCUGAAUGGGACCAGCACUCCUGAGAGGGAGCUGAGGAAAAGGAAGGAAACCCAACCCGUGGGAAGCCACUUAACGGAGGCAGAGAUCGGCCAAGAUGGAGGGACUCAAAGCUGCAGAGAAAAGUACAGCAGCUGGACUGAGGAGGGCAACACAAAGAGAGAGACACAAAGACAACUGGUACCACUGCCCUCAAACAGCAUAGCCUGAGACGCGUGGGUGGGGGGCAGCACUGAGACUCAGGCUCAGGUCAGUCAGAGAGAAGACUAUAGUUGGUGGUGUGGAGACAGCCUGAGGGAGCUAGGAAUCAGUGUGGCAAGGGCUGGGGAGUGGAAUGCAACAGCCAAAGGAACCUGGGAGGAGGUUUGGGCCCAUAGGAGAAGCAAGGUGGGUGUGGCCCACCACCACCAGAGGCCCAUGAACAGGCACCAUCCACAGCCCCAGUCACCUCAGAGGGUGGCCCAGAGCAGUGCAACUGAGCACCACCCAUUGUUGCUCUCACUCCUCUGGGAAUGCACACACUCUGCUGCUGCCAUUGUCAAAUGCUUUGGGGCCUCCCUAAACCUGCAUGAGUCUCACUGACACUUCCCAGGGCCCUGCCACUAGGAGCAGCUUGUUCCACCUUCCCCCUUGCUGGUCUUUACUACUGCCAAGGGCCCAACAACCAGGCACUGCCUACCAGCCCUGCCCAUUGCCUCCAUUUCCCUGGAAGGAUGCACAACACCCUAAAAAUAAACAGUAAGCCCUCACAAAAUAUCCAGGGGCACUAGCACAUAUAAAUAGCCCUCCAAAAAUGCAGUAGUUGUUUUCUCUAAACUCAAAGAAUAAGAAAAAUACAAGCAAUAUGAAGAAGUUCAGGAACCAUUCCCAACACAUAAAAAAUAUGAUGUGACCAAGUGGGAUUCAUCCCAGGUUCACAAGGAUAGUUCAACAUACGCAAAUCAAUGUUAUAUACCACAUUAACGAAAGAAAAUUAAAAAACCAUCUGAUCAUCUCAAUAGAUGCAGAAAAAGCAUUUACAAAAUCCAACAUCCAUUCAUGUUAAAAAAAACUCUUACCAAAGUGGCAAUAGAUGGAACAUACCUUAACAUAAUCAAAGCCCUUUAUGACAAACCCACAGCCAAUACAAUACUUAAUGGAGAGAUGCUGAAAGCCUCCCAUUAAAAUCUGGAACAAGACAUGGAUGUCCUCUCUCACCACUUUUAUUCAAGUGCUAGCCACAAUAAUAAGACAAACAAAAGGGGAAAAAAGUUAUCCUAAUUGGAAGAGAAGAGGUAAAAUUGUCACUCUAUGCAGAUGACAUGAUACUGAAUAUAGAAAACUCCAGGGACUCAACACAAAAACUACUCUACUUACCAAUGAAUUCAGCAAGGUAGCAGGAUACAAGAUUAACAUUCAGAGGAGUUGCUGACAUGGCUCAGCAAUUAACGAACCCGACUAGCAUCAAUGAGAAUUCGGGUUCAACCCCUGUUCUUGCAUAGUGGGUUAGGGAUCCAGCAUUGCUGUGAGCUGUGGUGGGGGUCACAGACAUGUGGAUCCUGCAUUGCUUUGGCUAUGGUGUAGGCCAGCAGCUACAGCUGUGAUUGGAUCCCUAGCCUGGGAACCUCCAUGUGCUA